rnacentral:rRNA from 1 species
UAGGGAAUCUUCGGCAAUGGACGAAAGUCUGACCGAGCAACGCCGCGUGAGUGAAGAAGGUUUUCGGAUCGUAAACCUCUGUUGCUAGAGAAGAACAAGGACGUUAGUAACUGAACGUCCCCUGACGGUAUCUGACCAGAAAGCCACGGCUAACUACGUGCCAGCAGCCGCGGUAAUACGUAGGGGGCAAGCGUUGUCCGGAUUUAUUGGGCGUAAAGCGAGCGCAGGCGGUUUCUUAAGUCUGAUGUGAAAGCCCCCGGCUCAACCGGGGAGGGUCAUUGGAAACUGGGAGACUUGAGUGCAGAAGAGGAGAGUGGAAUUCCAUGUGUAGCGGUGAAAUGCGUAGAUAUAUGGAGGAACACCAGUGGCGAAGGCGGCUCUCUGGUCUGUAACUGACGCUGAGGCUCGAAAGCGUGGGGAGCAAACAGG